GGGACGGGCGGGGUGCUUACCAUGCAGUCGAACGGUGAAGGAAAGCUUGCUUUCUGGAUCAGUGGCGAACGGGUGAGUAACACGUGAGUAACCUGCCCUUGACUCUGGGAUAACUGCUAGAAAUGGUAGCUAAUACCGGAUACGACCCUCGGCCGCAUGGUCAGGGGGUGGAAAGAAUUUUGGUCAAGGAUGGACUCGCGGCCUAUCAGGUAGUUGGUGAGGUAAUGGCUCACCAAGCCUACGACGGGUAGCCGGCCUGAGAGGGUGACCGGCCACACUGGGACUGAGACACGGCCCAGACUCCUACGGGAGGCAGCAGUGGGGAAUAUUGCACAAUGGGCGAAAGCCUGAUGCAGCAACGCCGCGUGAGGGACGACGGCCUUCGGGUUGUAAACCUCUUUUAGUAGGGAAGAAGCGAAAGUGACGGUACCUGCAGAAAAAGCACCGGCUAACUACGUGCCAGCAGCCGCGGUAAUACGUAGGGUGCAAGCGUUGUCCGGAAUUAUUGGGCGUAAAGAGCUCGUAGGCGGUUUGUCGCGUCUGCUGUGAAAUCCGGAGGCUCAACCUCCGGCCUGCAGUGGGUACGGGCAGACUAGAGUGCGGUAGGGGAGAUUGGAAUUCCUGGUGUAGCGGUGGAAUGCGCAGAUAUCAGGAGGAACACCAAUGGCGAAGGCAGAUCUCUGGGCCGUAACUGACGCUGAGGAGCGAAAGCAUGGGGAGCGAACAGGAUUAGAUACCCUGGUAGUCCAUGCCGUAAACGUUGGGAACUAGAUGUGGGGGCCAUUCCACGGUCUCCGUGUCGCAGCUAACGCAUUAAGUUCCCCGCCUGGGGAGUACGGCCGUAAGGCUAAAACUCAAAGGAAUUGACGGGGGCCCGCACAAGCGGCGGAGCAUGCGGAUUAAUUCGAUGCAACGCGAAGAACCUUACCAAGGCUUGACAUAUAGAGGUAACGUGCAGAAAUGUACGCCCCGCAA
rnacentral:rRNA from 1 species